UGAUUCCCCUAGUAACGGCGAGUGAAGAGGGAAAAGCUCAAAGUUGGAACCUGGCUGUCCUAGAUAGUCCGGAUUGUAAACUAAAGAGCGUGAAUCCAGGCAAGCCGGUUGAUCAAGUCCUUUGGAAUGAGGCGCCACUGAGGGUGAGAGCCCCGUAAAUCGACUGAGCAUUUGUCUUUUGUGUUUCGCGUUCAAAGAGUCAGGUUGUUUGGGAAUGCAGCCUAAAGCUGGUGGUAAAUCCCACCUAAAGCUAAAUACAGGCGAGAGACCGAUAGCGAACAAGUACCGUGAGGGAAAGAUGAAAAGUACUUUGAAAAGAGAGUUAAACAGUAUGUGAAAUUGCCAAGAGGGAAGCAUUUGGAGUUAGACUGACUUGGAGUUAAUCAGCUUGGUCUUUGGACUGGGUGUACUUGACUUCUAUGUCUGCCAAUAGCAGUUAGUCCUGAUGGAAAAAACUGAAGGGAAGGUAGUCCUUCGGGAUGUUUAUAGACCUUUGGAAAAUACAUUGGGAUUGACUGAGGAAUGCAGUAGAUGCUAUUAAGGCUUCGUCUAGUAGGUGUUAGGUGAAGGUACUUGGUAUUUUCAGCUUGCUGAUGUGCUAGGUUACUUGAGCUUAAUUGCUUGCUAGAACUGUAAUC
rnacentral:rRNA from 1 species